rnacentral:lncRNA from 1 species
AGCACUCAACGAUGGGGUGGGGACCAGCCUGGGCACGGGGGACGUCCUGGCCCAUCCCAGGGUUUCUGGAGGGCGAGGGAAAACUCCUAGAAUGGAACUGCCAAUGGGCAUGGGAUUUCUUUUGGGGAAUGAGAAUGUUCUGGAACUGGAGCUUGGGGCAGUCGCAUGGCCUGGGAAGUGCAGUAAAUGCCACUGAGCUGUGCAACUUGAAGGGUGCAUUUCAUGCAUGUGAAUUAUGUCUGAAUAACAAGAAAAGCAGUCCCCAAGGAUUUGCACGAUGACUCACAGGGGCUAUGAGAACUGGACUCUCUUGGAAGCUGCUGCUGCACCACAAUUCAUGUGACACCCGCUGUCCAGUGCAUAGCACGGUGGGAACCUGCCAUCCAAGGAGGUUGGGAUUGGCUGUUGGUCAGGUAUGUGCUCAAGAGGGAAAUCAAAAUAUGAACAAAUGUGGGGUUUUCCCUAGUCUUUCAUUCGGGAGAAUUCAGGCUCUCAAUGAGGUGAAGGCCAAGCCAGGUGAACCCACAGACGCUAGCCUUUUGCCAUCUUUGCUUUUCCACAUUUGUGUGAAUAGAGCAUUUUCUUUUUGUUGAGCCAUUUGAAAGUGACCCACAGCAUGACUUUCUGCCUGUGCCUCCCCAAAAGUACAGCUUUCUCAUGCACGGCCCAGUCCCUGUGAUCCUGCCUAAGGAAAUUAGUGAGAAUUCCUUAAAUCUGAAUUCAGAUCGCCCCAACUGGGCAAAUCAAUUUUUUAUGACCCUUUCCAUUGAACCAGGAUCCAACCAAGGCUGGUGCGUUUCAUUUGGGGGUUUUUCUCUUUAGUCUCUUCUGUUUCUACCUUCUUUUUCAUGAAAAAGCAUGACCCAGACUUUUUGGGGUGCCCAGGCCGGGCCUGCUGGUCAACGGGGCUGGUUGCGAAAGCUCCCAGGUGUGCACACCCAUCUUCUCCACACCUCCACGCGGCGCCUGGGGUCUCCCAGUCUGGGCUUUGUGGGCUGAAGCCUAUCAGGGCAGGAGGCUGGGCCUGUCUGGUUGGAGCCCGGAGGUGGUGGCAGAGCAGGUAUAGAGUGUUCCCUUCCAGUUCUCCGCUCCCCUCCUUCCUGCCUCUCUCCGCUCUUCUCCAGGCCCUCUCCCUCUGCUCCCAGCUGCCCCAGAGGCGAUGCUCCAUCAUGUUCUCUCCAAGGGAGACUGGCAGCACCUAUUUCUGAAACCCGAGGCCGGGCUGCAUGGCUCAUGGAAGGGGCUGAGGAUGCUGGGUCAGCUCAGGUCAGCCUCAUCCCUGCUGGCAUAGGGGAAGGGCAUCUGAAGUGACAGACCCGGGAGGCCUGCACCAGCCACUGCACAGGCCUCCCCAGCACGGCUUCAGCUUCCACGUUUGGCCAGGAGAGACUGGGCUCUUCCCCGGGCACUCGGCAGUCCACUGUCCAUCCCUUUUUAUCUCUUCUUGAUUCCAGAUUGGUUCCUUGUUGUUUUCCUUUGUCCCGGAGGAGCCUCAGGGCUUUGCUCAAUCAGGGCAAGGCCCACACACAGUGCUCAGAGCACAGCCGCGCGGAGCAAAUGUCACCUUGCAAAUAAACCAAUGUCCAUGUGGUACACUGA